UGGGGUAGGUAAGAAAAGGAGAAAUAGAUGGUCAUAUCAUAGUAAUGCUAGAAGUGAUAGAUUGUACCGAAUAUAAAAGUAUGAAAGCUGACUCCAUGAACUUUGAUGCAAAGAGGAGUAGUUAUGAACCCUUUAGACCAUCCUCAUGGGUGAGAAGAAGAGGCAAAAAUUGGAAUAAAAAUAUCAUUUGAUUACUUUUGAAGUGGGGAAGUGAGAGAGAGAAAAGGGGGACAAGAGAAUCUUUUG
rnacentral:lncRNA from 1 species